CAGCCGCCGCGGGAAUACGUAGGUGGCGAGCGUUGUCCGGAAUUAUUGGGCGUAAAGGGAGCGCAGGCGGACAUAUAAGUCCAUCUUAAAAGUGCGGGGCUCAACCCCGUGGGGGGAUGGAAACUGUAUGCCUUGAGUGCAGGAGAGGAAAGCGGAAUUCCCAGUGUAGCGGUGAAAUGCGUAGAUAUUGGGAGGAACACCAGUGGCGAAGGCGGCUUUCUGGGCUGCAACUGACGCUGAGGCUCGAAAGCCAGGGGAGCGAACGGGAUUAGAUACCCCCGUAGUCCCUGUCUCUUAUACA
rnacentral:rRNA from 1 species